CUUCCUCAUUAUCCCCUUCUCCUCUUUGUUAUCCUCCUCCUUUUCCUCCAAACUCAUCAAAGAGACCUCCACCUCUAUGGUGGCUCCCUCCAUCUCUGCCCAUUCCUCGUCGAUAACCUCUCCUUUUCCAUCCUCUCUUUCCUUCUCAUCUACUUCUUCUCAUCAUCUUCUCCUCCAAGCCCAUCCAUCAGCCUUUUCUCUUCACAGUGACUCCUUUUAUGUCUGCCCCUUCUCA
rnacentral:lncRNA from 1 species